rnacentral:lncRNA from 1 species
CGGCCACUCUUGCUUGGACUCGUUAUCUGACUCGGCUAAUCCUCCAUCUCUGAUUCUUUUCCCGUUGAUAGCUCGGACGAUCAUAUAUAAAUGUAUACGUGCAUACUUUUACACACACUAAUAACGCACUGUGAUUGCCGGCCAAACAAAGUCAUUUCGACUGAUUUGACGCGCGCUUGCAUUGGCAAAUUAAAUGAAACCCACCACCAGCAUGGCAGU